GUGUCAGCAGCCGCGGUAAUACGUAGGGUGCGAGCGUUAAUCGGAAUUACUGGGCGUAAAGCGUGCGCAGGCGGUUUCUUAAGCCAGAUGUGAAAGCCCCGGGCUUAACCUGGGAAUUGCGUUUGGAACUGGGAGACUAGAGUGUGGCAGAGGGAGGUAGAAUUCCACGUGUAGCAGUGAAAUGCGUAGAGAUGUGGAGGAAUACCGAUGGCGAAGGCAGCCUCCUGGGCCAACACUGACGCUCAUGCACGAAAGCGUGGGGAGCAAACAGGAUUAGAAACCCUCGUAGUCC
rnacentral:rRNA from 1 species